UGGGGCGUAGCCAAGUGGUAAGGCACCGGGUUUUGAUCCCGUGAUCGCAGGUUCGAUCCCUGCCGCCCCAGCCA
rnacentral:tRNA from 1 species